UACAUGCAGUCGAGCGCGGGAAGCGAUGAGGAUCCCUUCGGGGUGAAGCUCGUGGAACGAGCGGCGGACGGGUGAGUAACACGUGGGCAACCUACCUGUAAGAUCGGAAUAACCCCGGGAAACCGGGGCUAAUGCCGGGUAAUACUUUUCUUCGCAUGAAGGAAAGUUGAAAGAUGGCUUCUUGCUAUCACUUACAGAUGGGCCCGCGGCGCAUUAGCUAGUUGGUGAGGUAACGGCUCACCAAGGCGACGAUGCGUAGCCGACCUGAGAGGGAAACCGACCAAACUGGGACUGAGACACGGCCCAGACUCCUACGGGAGGCAGCAGUAGGGAAUCUUCCGCAAUGGACGAAAGUCUGACGGAGCAACGCCGCGUGAACGAUGAAGGUCUUCGGAUCGUAAAGUUCUGUUGUUAGGGAAGAACAAGUACCGUGCGAAUAGAGCGGUACCUUGACGGUACCUAACGAGGAAGCCCCGGCUAACUACGUGCCAGCAGCCGCGGUAAUACGUAGGGGGCAAGCGUUGUCCGGAAUUAUUGGGC
rnacentral:rRNA from 1 species